UCAAAUUAUUAGUAUCUGAUUUUAUAAUAUUACAAUAAUUCAUUAGCUGUUGUGACAGUCUUAAUAAUAUUCAAAUACAGUCUAAUAUUGUAUUUUCUUCCUCAGUAAAUGGUGAUCGUACAGUUGGAGAUCUGAGAGUCAUCGUCUUUUCCACUGAAGGCCUCUUUGCUUUAUCUCUGCUGAGUUUACAAGUAUUUAAACCCUUAUUCCCAUUCACAGGGAUAAGAACAUGUCUGCAGUCAAGUCAGAAUGCAGCAGGAUCUGAUGAAACUCCAGCCAAUGAAUCAAACCAGAGGCAGAACACAGCAGAAUCACGUGAAAUGAAUCCUUUACUGAAUCAAGAUCAGGAUGCUGGUAGGACAGAGGAAACUCAGCCUGAUUCAGUGGAAUCACAAACAUGAGAAACAAUGAGAAAAACAGACUCUUUAUCACACUGACAGUGAUUUAAGAUAAAAGUUCAGUUGUACUUUUAAUUUCAAUUUUUAAAAAAAUGUUUCUUGGUUUUCA